rnacentral:rRNA from 1 species
AGUGAACGCUGGCGGCAUGCCUAACACAUGCAAGUCGAACGGUAACAGGCCCGCAAGGGUGCUGACGAGUGGCGGACGGGUGAGGAAUACAUCGGAAUUUGCCCAGUCGUGGGGGAUAACGUAGGGAAACUUACGCUAAUACCGCAUACGACCUAACGGUGAAAGCGGGGGACCUGCAAGGGCCUCGCGCGGAUGGAUAAGCCGAUGUCGGAUUAGCUAGUUGGCGGGGUAAGAGCCCACCAAGGCGACGAUCCGUAGCUGGUCUGAGAGGAUGAUCAGCCACACUGGGACUGAGACACGGCCCAGACUCCUACGGGAGGCAGCAGUGGGGAAUCUUGCGCAAUGGGCGAAAGCCUGACGCAGCGACGCCGCGUGA